GAUGAACGCUGGCGGUAUGCUUAACACACGCAAGUCGAACGGACUCUUCGGAGUUAGUGGCGGACGGGUGAGUAACGCGUGAGAAUCUGGCUUUGGGUUCGGGACAACCACUGGAAACGGUGGCUAAUACCGGAUGUGCCGAGAGGUAAAAGAGAAAUUGCCUGAAGAUGAGCUCGCGUCUGAUUAGCUAGUUGGUGAGGUAAAGGCUCACCAAGGCAGCGAUCAGUAGCUGGUCUGAGAGGAUGACCAGCCACACUGGGACUGAGACACGGCCCAGACUCCUACGGGAGGCAGCAGUGGGGAAUUUUCCGCAAUGGGCGAAUGCCUGACGGAGCAAUACCGCGUGAGGGAAGAAGGCUCUUGGGUUGUAAACCUCUUUUCUUAGGGAAGAACAAAAUGACGGUACCUAAGGAAUCAGCAUCGGCUAACUCCGUG
rnacentral:rRNA from 1 species